GUGGCCAUGUUGGAGGUCUAAACACAUUUCAUGGCGCUAGUGAAAACGCUCGAAAGUUUGAUAACAAACUCAUCAAAAACAAACAAAAGGGCCGUUUUGUUAUACUGUUGUUAUAGCUGUACAAGAAUAUUACCCAUAUGCAUAUCCACUUGAUGACAAAGGAUUUUAGAAUGAUUAAAUAAUCGAGAAAAAUGUCAGAAAUGAGUGGUUAGUCGAGGGGAUCCAAACUAACAACCAGACACCAAAACAGAUUGGUUUUCUGCGAUCACUUCAUCAACGGAUGCUGUUAUACCUCCAAUAUUAUAGACGAGGAGAAAAAUGCGAAUAUGUCCUAUGAGACUAUGGCCUUUAGUGAACAACAAAUUUGUUUUAGAAAAACACAAACUGUUCAUGAGUUGUACCCCAGACACACUGCAAUAACUCAGACCUCUAAAAGCCUUUUUCAAGGUUUAUUUCACCCAUUGCUUACUCUUGAUCAGAUCAUUAGCAUUAGCAUCUAAGAGGUGGCAAAAAAAUAAGCUAUGUAAUGCAAGGCGAAUGUUUAAUCUAAGAGCUUGAAUCCAAAGUAAUUUAUUUUAAAAUUGUUGAGUUUCAUAGCAAUUAAUAUCCAGGAAAAUAAUCCCCAAUUGAUGGUAUUUUGUUUGCUUUUGUUGGUAGAGGACUGCCAGUUGCCAUGGUCACUAUACCAAUCCUGGUUAACACUAGUUAAUUUGUGAUAUAAAAAAAAAAGCACAACAAA